UACCAUCUUGGCUCACUGCAACCUCCGCCUCCCGGGAGAAUCGCUUGAACCCCGGAAGCGGAGGUUGCCGUGAGCUAAGAUUGCGUCCCUGCACUCCAGCCUGGCAACAGAGCAAGACUCCAUCUCAAAAAAAAAAAAAAAAAAAAAGGAUCUACUUUUGAGAAUACUGUCAUUGGUUGAUAAAAUACAGCAGAAACUUGUGAAGAAGCUAUUUUCCAUAUUCACCUGGCAUGUUUGGAGAUGAUUGCCAUCAACUUUGUGACUGUGAAGGAGAAACCUUCUGCCACCAAAAAACUGAAAAAUGCCUCUGCCCCCCUGGGAGAAUGGAGCCAGAUGUGAUGCUGGUAAGUCUCCUGUAUUGGGCAUUCAGCAUGAGUGUUGCCUUUUUCUGACCUCAAGACAACUAUCCAACUUUCCCUGUGUCCUUCACAAUGCAACCACUAAAGCUCCACUGAAUACUCUAAUUCUGAGAAGGCACCUUAAAAAUUUGAAUCUCAUAACUUGCUCGGAUCAUAUGGCUCCUAAGUGGAGCAGAACUCAGGUUUGCCUCAUUCCAGAGGCCACGUUCUUGACUAUAGCAUGCAUGCAAUUAUAAAACACUACCAUCUAGGAUGAAAAUCUAUACCUGUAAAUUUUGGAAAGUAAUAAAAUUUUGAUGAAUCCAAGUCAGAAUGAGUUCAUACUCCAGUGGCUAAUCAAGACACACACAGGUAGUCACAUUUUCAACCACCUUUAUUUUUGAUGUAUUAAAAAAAAACAG